GUCCUAGUUGGAUUUCUGCGGGAGACAAGGGCCUACCUUACGGGUAAGUAUCUCUCAGGCUCCUGCAUCCUCAACAGGAACGUCGCUGCGAUUCAUUUCGUGGUACGGUACUGUUGACUUUUACUUUGAGGAAAUUAGAGUGUUCACGGCAAGCAAACGCGUGUAUACAUUAGCAUGGAAUAAUAAUAUAGGACCUUGGAUCUAUUUUGUUGGUUUCUAGGACUAAGGUAAUGAUAAAUAAGGGACAGUUUGGGGGCAUUUGUACUAACGCGUCAGAGGUGGAAUUCUUGGAUUGCGUUAUGACAAACUACUGCNAAAGCAUUUGCCAAGGGAUGUUUUCAUUGAUCAAGAACGAAAGUAUGGGGAUC
rnacentral:rRNA from 1 species